UACGUAGGGUGCAAGCGUUAAUCGGAAUUACUGGGCGUAAAGCGUGCGCAGGCGGUUAUGUAAGACAGGUGUGAAAUCCCCGGGCUUAACCUGGGAACUGCAUUUGUGACUGCAUAGCUAGAGUACGGUAGAGGGGGAUGGAAUUCCGCGUGUAGCAGUGAAAUGCGUAGGUAUGCGGAGGAACACCGAUGGCGAAGGCAAUCCCCUGGACCUGUACUGACGCUCAUGCACGAAAGCGUGGGGAGCAAACAGG
rnacentral:rRNA from 1 species